AGGAGUAACACUAAAAACUCAAAUGUUGGCACUAUUUGGACUACUGCUAAUCCAAAAUACAAGCUUGGUGAGCCUUUGUCGUCAGAAGAGGCUUUAGAGGCUGCUGGGCAAAGUUGUCAAUCCUUGCAUGCUUACUUCAUGGAACAAAGUGCAAAGGGUGCUGAUAGCAUUACUGCAAAGGUGGCUGCAUCCUACUUUGAAAGUGAUGGUGAAUUAAGCAUCACAAUUGGAUUCAAUGACUUGUAUGACCUUUUCAACAUGGACAGUCUGGAUGUUGGCUUGUUGAGGUGCUGGACAUUGAGAAUGAAGCAAUAGGCAAAUCAGAUGCAGAACGAUGUCGGGUUUUUGGAUCCACAAGUAUUCUCAGCCACAAUGCUUCAAUUCCAGACGAAAGAGGUAACACAAGCAAUUACAAAGGCUACGAAGCACGACUUUGUGGUGGGUGCCUAAAACACCGGUGGACACUGGAUACUAGUGAUCAUUGCUAUGAAGUGGGAUGUUGUUUUGUAUUUAGAUUAUGCUAAAACUUGGCCAAUGAGAAAGUUCAAGGACGUCAUAACUGAUGUGAACUGGUAAGUAUAUUGAAGGUUUUGUUCACACAAAUUCCAUCGCUUAAUGUUUUUAAUUGAUAUUGCUGAUCACGCAGGGCCUAUUCAGAGCACAUGGACAAAAUUGAGAAAAAGAUGACGAAAACAAAGUCAAAAAGCAAAGCUAAACUCACGCACAAGACAGAUUUCCCGUGCGCUCAACAUCCAUCGGGGAGCAUGUUGUGUGGAUUCUAUGUUGCAUUGAACAUGAUGGACUCUGACAUAAGCAUCAUGAAAAAAGCAUCUGUAAAUGUAUAC